AAAUUGAAGAGUUUGAUCAUGGCUCAGAUUGAACGCUGGCGGCAGGCCUAACACAUGCAAGUCGAACGGUAACAGGAAACAGCUUGCUGUUUCGCUGACGAGUGGCGGACGGGUGAGUAAUAUCUGGGAAACUGCCUGAUGGAGGGGGAUAACUACUGGAAACGGUAGCUAAUACCGCAUAACGUCGCAAGACCAAAGAGGGGGACCUUAGGGCCUCUUGCCAUCGGAUGUGCCCAGAUGGGAUUAGCUAGUAGGUGGGGUAAAGGCUCACCUAGGCGACGAUCCCUAGCUGGUCUGAGAGGAUGACCAGCCACACUGGAACUGAGACACGGUCCAGACUCCU
rnacentral:rRNA from 1 species